rnacentral:rRNA from 1 species
UACGUAGGGUGCAAGCGUUGUCCGGAAUUAUUGGGCGUAAAGAGUUCGUAGGCGGUCUGUCGCGUCUGCUGUGAAAACUCAGGGCUUAACCCUGAGCUUGCAUUGGGUACGGGCAGACUAGAGUGCGGUAGGGGAGACUGGAAUUCCUGGUGUAGCGGUGAAAUGCGCAGAUAUCAGGAGGAACACCGGUGGCGAAGGCGGGUCUCUGGGCCGUAACUGACGCUGAGGAGCGAAAGCGUGGGGAGCAAACAGG